AUAUGCGAAAGAGAAGUCAGAUAUGAGAUCCAAACCCUGAAUUGGGAUUAUGAUCAAGAGAUGAUAAUAAUAAUAUUAUAUUAUUAUUAUAAUGAUUUUACAGUACAAUAAUUAUGUACUGUGUAUGCGCGGACAGAUAAUAUUGAGCAAUGACGGUCAAUUAGGUCAUAGCAUAUUACCGUGCUGUGAAACCCUAAUUAUUAAACUUAGUUAUGAGAAAUGACUGAGUAGUGACUGUGUAUAUGAAGUUUACUGUGUAUAUGAAGGUUACUG
rnacentral:lncRNA from 1 species